rnacentral:rRNA from 1 species
AGCGAACGCUAGCGGCGGGCCUCAAACAUGCAGUCGAGCGAACAGAUGAGGAGCUUGCUCCUUUGACGUUAGCGGCGGACGGGUGAGUAACACGUAGGUAACCUACCUAUAAGACUGGGAUAACUUCGGGAAACCGGAGCUAAUACCGGAUAAUAUUUCGAACUGCACGGUUCGAUAGUGAAAGAUGGCUUUGCUAUCACUUAUAGAUGGACCUGCGCCGUAUUAGCUAGUUGGUAAGGUAACGGCUUACCAAGGCAACGAUACGUAGUCGACCUGAGAGGGUGAUCGGCCACACUGGAACUGAGACACGGUCCAGACUCCUACGGGAGGCAGCAGUAGGGAAUCUUCCGCAAUGGGCGAAAGCCUGACGGAGCAACGCCGCGUGAGUGAUGAAGGUCUUCGGAUCGUAAAACUCUGUUAUUAGGGAAGAACAAACGUGUAAGUAACUGUGCACGUCUUGACGGUACCUAAUCAGAAAGCCACGGCUAACUACGUGCCAGCCGCCGCAGUAAUAC